rnacentral:lncRNA from 1 species
UGGCUUCGCAAGGAAGCUCACCUGUUCAAGGUUGUCAGCAGCUGCAUCCCUUUCUCAGCUGCAUCCCUCCAACAGCAGAGAGACAGACAACAGUAGCAGGUCGUGCUCAGGUGGCUUAUGGGACAGACCUGAAGUGCAGCCUCAGCUCUGGAAAGUCGGCACUUGUCAACACGUCUUAUUUCCACACCCUCUGAGAGUCAAGCUAGCUUAGGAUGCUUCCUUUAAGCCUCAGGGGACUCCAUUACUGUCUUCCAGGCGGUGAGCCUUAAACGAAAAAGAAUGAUGGCACCCUCCUGGGUGCUGGAUGUCAAGGACCUGGUGGUGCACGAUACAAAUAUGCAGAGAACUGCUGCAGAGAUCAUCACAUCACUGAGUGCCAUGUCUGCUGUGGAUUUAGGAUAUGAAAUCGUAGAAAGGGAGGAUGCUUGAUUCAAGUUCUCUGCUCAAACAAGGUCAGGUUGUGGAGUGUGGAGUCAUACCCAUAUGAGGAUUCCAUUCUGCAGGAAAGACCUAUUGCUAUCCUAUGGGUCAGCCGUCACACAGAGACUGUCCUCCAUACCCAACGAAGCAACAUUGAACAGUCAAUUUCAAGCACAAAGGAGAAUAAAUACUUGGGUACCUUUAGCAAUCAUAGGCUGGAAGACUCAAGCAAAGUUCCCACUGUCAAAGUGACUGUGAAGACGGGCCAAGAAGAAAUAGAGUACAAAUGCUGUUGAAGACAUAAUCCACAAAUUGAAGGAUUUUUCAGCCAGGUGGUACAAAAGACAAGGUGGAGGUGGAAUGAGAACAACCGAACCUACACUCAUCAAGAAUCCUCAUCUGGGUUUACAGUGUACCAGAACCAUGCCUUGGCUGAAGUCUAGACCAUCGAUUGAUGGGUAGGAAUCAGAACGGGGCACUAUGUGUGAGGCCACAAGCUGGUAGCACAGCAGAAGCCUGAGUUCCCAGAAAUGCCAUCCAGCCAAAGGCAGGACAGAAAUUUACAGGGCUAGUCUUUAAAAAUAUUUUAAUGGUAACUAAAGGUCAUUGCACCCGAAGUGAAGCCUGCAGACAGUCUUUAAAACGUGUCCUUUAUCUCCAUCACUCAGAAGAGAGAGAAAGCUCUGAAGGAACACCAUAUUGGAUUGACGGUUGUAAAGACCUCCUGUGAUUUAAGAAAAGUGAAGAUAAUUCUUCCAUGUGAAGAGGAGAAGAAACCUCCAGAAACAAGGGUAUCAUCAGUUGUUGUAACCUCAUCUUGUUCCAUCUUAUUAGACAAGCAAUUUUUCUUCAAUAAAAACCCUGAACA